GGCAAAGAGGUUUGGGUCUGGGGGAGCAAAUUAGUAAGGAAAUAACAAGGUUAGUUUAUACAGCCCUCUCGGCCUUAAAUCCCCUAUCUCUGGUGCUAAGGAUGCCCCGUACCCUCCUGGUGCAAGGAGGGCGGGCACCUUUCACACGGGAGAUUUAUUUCCUGCCUUCGAGGGGACGGAGGAGGUCAGAGAGUCCUUCUUGCAUGGGCUGUUUCUUAAGUAACUUUAAUUCAAAACAACCAAUAUGCCAAAUCGGCAUAUUUGGGGAUGACACAUGCUGCUCCCCUUCAGUAUUUUACCACAAUUUCAAAAACUGAAAAAAAAAAAAAAAAGCAGCACCCAAUAAUAACAUCUACUCCUCUGCUGAUGAGUGAACGCUUACCACCUCAAUACGAGGCACAGCGCUAAAUGAUUUACAUGCAGGAAUUCAUCUGCUGCUCAUAACAAGCCUCCCAGAAACUCUUAUCUCGUUUUGCAGAUGGGGAAACUGAGGCACGGAGAAACCAAGUAACUUGUCCAAGGUCACACAGCUGGUAACGGCUAAGCCAGACCCAGACGAGACACACUGGCCCUUGAGUCCCCGAUACUGUCACCCAAAACUGGGUCCGCCCCUUGGUGGGUGUCGAGCCAAGAGACACAACCAAGCCAAGGACGAGGCAAAGGAGGGUUUUUACUUGCAACAAGCAAUGGAGAACUCGGGGGAUGUUUCCCAAAGCAGCGUCUCCUCCAUCAACAAAGCUGGCGAGUAAUGACCUAUGUGAGAGGCCUUAUUAGGCCCAAUUCCCUUUUGAUGGACUUGUCCAAUGAGACCCCGGGGGAAGGCUCUGGGGAAGGUGGGGUCAACGGAGAGUUCCACUUGGAGGACGAGGACUGUCGGCCAUCAGCCCCUUCCCCGCAGUCCCAGAGCAGCCACCAGGCCAUCCCUAUGGAGAAUGAACCACACUCAGCCCUCCAGGAGCCUCCAGGCCUGAGGCGACAAAGAAGGAAAGGCCCAGAGAGGUCAAGCAACCUGCCCAAGGACCCACAGCGGCAGCUGGUACUCCUGACACCUGGGGACCACUGAGUCCAGAUCUCCUUUGACAGAUCAGGGGGCUCAGGCUCGGGGAACUGCAGAGUGAUGGACCCAAGGGCACCAGCCAGGGUGGUACCACGACUGGCCGGGACUUGGACCCAGGACUUCUCUGACCACAGAGCCCUGGGCUGGUGAAUCGGACAGAGGCAUUCACUCUCCUCCCUCCCUGAGCAUCCAUUUCACACGGAUGAGGUAAUGAGGCUGAACCAAGCCCCGCCCCCACCCAGUGCCUGGCACCAAUCAGGACCUAAUGUAUGGGGUUCCACCCCUUUCCCCUUGAACUUGCCCCAGGCCUCGGCCCUUGGCGGGUUGGCUGGUUAAUCUUCCUGGAGC